UACGGAGGGUGCAAGCGUUAUCCGGAUUUACUGGGUUUAAAGGGUGCGUAGGCGGCUUUUUAAGUCGGUGGUGAAAGCCUAGUGCUUAACACUAGAACGGCCAUCGAUACUGGGAAGCUUGAGUCAAGGAGAGGUAAGCAGAAUUUAUAGUGUAGCAGUGAAAUGCUUAGAUACUAUAAGGAAUACCAAUAGCGAAGGCAGCUUACUGGCCUUGUACUGACGCUGAGGCACGAAAGCGUGGGGAGCAAACAGG
rnacentral:rRNA from 1 species